rnacentral:rRNA from 1 species
GCUAACCCUAAACACAGAUAUUUUUAUACAACAAUAUCCGCCAGAGAACUACAAGCGAAAAGCUAGAAACUCCAAGGACUUGGCGGUGCUUUAAACCAACCUAGAGGAGCCUGUCCUAUAAUCGAUACCCCACGUUUAACCUUACCCACCCUGGCCAACCAGCCUAUAUACCGCCGUCGUCAGCCUACCUUGUGAAAGAGACAAAGUAGGCAAAACAGUUAAUAACUAACACGUCAGGUCAAGGUGUAGCAAAUGGGUGGGCAGAGAUGGGCUACAUUUUCUAACAAGAAUAUACGAACAACACACUGAAACCCGUGUUUGAAGGUGGAUUUAGUAGUAAAGUAGGAAAGAAAAACUAUCUUGAAACCUGCUCUGAAGCGCGC